rnacentral:rRNA from 1 species
UACAGAGGUCUCAAGCGUUGUUCGGAUUCAUUGGGCGUAAAGGGUGCGUAGGUGGCGCGCUAAGUCAGGUGUGAAAUUUCGGAGCUUAACUCCGAAAACUGCAUUUGAUACUGGCGUGCUUGAGGACUGGAGAGGAGACUGGAAUUCAUGGUGUAGCAGUGAAAUGCGUAGAGAUCAUGAGGAAGACCAGUGGCGAAGGCGGGUCUCUGGACAGUUCCUGACACUGAGGCACGAAGGCCAGGGGAGCAAACGGG